rnacentral:rRNA from 1 species
GACGAACGCUGGCGGCGUGCUUAACACAUGCAAGUCGUACGGUAAGGCCCUUUCGGGGGUACACGAGUGGCGAACGGGUGAGUAACACGUGCGUAACCUGCCCACAACUUUGGGAUAACGCUAGGAAACUGGUGCUAAUACUGGCUAUGUGCUCCUGCUGCAUGGUGGGGGUUGGAAAGCUCCGGCGGUUGUGGAUGGACUCGCGGCCUAUCAGCUUGUUGGUGGGGUAGUGGCCUACCAAGGCGGCGACGGGUAGCCGGCCUGAGAGGGUGACCGGCCACAUUGGGACUGAGAUACGGCACAGACUCCAACGGGAGGCAGCAGUGGGGAAUAUUGCACAAUGGGCGCAAGCCUGAUGCAGCAACGCCGCGUGCGGGAAGACGGCCUUCGGGUUGUAAACCGCUUUCAGCAGGGACGAAGCUUUUUGUGACGGUACCUGCAGAAGAAGCACCGGUGAACUACGG